rnacentral:rRNA from 1 species
AGGGCGAUGAUGCAUAGCCCGAGUUGAGAGACUGAUCGGGCCACAUUGGGACUGAGACACGGCCAAAACUCUACGGGGAGGCAGCAGUAGGAAUCCUCCCAACAAUGGACGCAAGUCUGAUGGAGCAACGCCGCGUGAGUGAAGUAAGGUUUUCGGAUACGUAAAAGCUCUGUUGUUGGUGAAGAAGGAUAGAGGUAGUAACUGGUCCUUUAUUUGACGGUAAUCAACCAGAAGUCACGGCUAACUACGUGCCAGCAGCCGCGGUAAU